rnacentral:rRNA from 1 species
GAUCAUAACGUGAAUACAUAGCGUUAUGAGGCGAACCCGGGGAACUGAAACAUCUCAGUACCCGGAGGAAAGGACAUCAACAGAGACUCUGCUAGUAGCGGCGAGCGAACGCGGACCAGGCCAGUGGCCUGUAUGUAAGAACCGGAACAAUCUGGAAAGGUUGGCCAAAGUGGGUGAUAGCCCCGUACGGGUAGAAAGCAUACAGGUCCUCGAGUAGGGCGGGACACGUGAAAUCCUGUCUGAACAUGGGGGGACCACCCUCCAAGCCUAAGUACUCCUUAACGACCGAUAGUGUACCAGUACCGUGAGGGAAAGGUGAAAAGCACCCCGAUAAGGGGAGUGAAAUAGUUCCUGAAACCGGAUGCCUACAAGCAGUUGGAGCCUCUUUAUGGGGUGACAGCGUACCUCUUGCAUAAUGGGUCAGCGAGUUAGUCUUACAAGCGAGCUUAAGCCGUUAGGUGUAGGCGCAGCGAAAGCGAGUCUGAAUAGGGCGAUUGAGUUUGUGGGAUUAGACCCGAAACCAGGUGAUCUAGCCAUGAGCAGGUUGAAGGUGAUGUAACAGUCACUGGAGGACCGAACCCACGUCUGUUGAAAAAGACGGGGAUGACUUGUGGUUAGGGGUGAAAGGCCAAUCAAACCUGGAGAUAGCUGGUUCUCCGCGAAAUCUAUUUAGGUAGAGCGUCAGACGAAUACCAUCGGGGGUAGAGCACUGAAUGGGCUAGGGGGCCUUACCGGCUUACCAAACCUAAUCAAACUCCGAAUACCGAUGAGUACUAUCUGGCAGACAGACUACGGGUGCUAAGGUCCGUGGUCGAGAGGGAAACAGCCCAGACCGCCAGUUAAGGUCCCAAAGUUGUGGCUAAGUGGGAAAGGAUGUAGGACGGCCAAGACAACCAGGACGUUGGCUUAGAAGCAGCCAUCGUUUAAAGAAAGCGUAACAGCUCACUGGUCUAAAUAAGCUGUCCCGCGCCGAAGAUGUACCGGGGCUCAAGCCACACACCGAAACUGCGGAUUUGUUCUUCGGAACAAGUGGUAGCGGAGCGUUCCGUAAGCCUGUGAAGGUGUACCGUAAGGUAUGCUGGAGGUAUCGGAAGCGAGAAUGCUGACAUGAGUAGCGACAAAGGGAGUGAGAACCUCCCUCGCCGAAAGCCCAAGGGUUCCUGCGCAAGGCCAAUCCGCGCAGGGUGAGUCGGCCCCUAAGACGAGGCGGAAACGCGUAGUCGAUGGGAAACAGGUUAAUAUUCCUGUACCCGUGAGAAGUGACGGCCUCUGGAAGUUGUGUCUCCUUAUUGGAUUGGAGAUGCUGCCAAGGAGGUCCAGGAAAUAACUCUCACAUAUGGACCGUACCCGAAACCGACACAGGUGGGCAGGUUGAAUAUACCAAGGCGCUUGAGAGAACGAUGUUGAAGGAACUCGGCAAAUUGCCCCCGUAACUUCGGGAGAAGGGGGCCCACCGUGAAGGCAACUUUACGGUGGGGGCACAGACCAGGGGGUGGCGACUGUUUACUAAAAACACAGGGCUCUGCGAAGUCGCAAGACGACGUAUAGGGUCUGACGCCUGCCCGGUGCCGGAAGGUUAAGAGGAGAUGUGCAAGCAUUGAAUUGAAGCCCCGGUAAACGGCGGCCGUAACUAUAACGGUCCUAAGGUAGCGAAAUUCCUUGUCGGGUAAGUUCCGACCUGCACGAAUGGCGUAACGACUUCCCCACUGUCUCCAACAUCGACUCAGCGAAAUUGAAUUCUCCGUGAAGAUGCGGAGUACCCGCGGUCAGACGGAAAGACCCCGUGCACCUUUACUACAGCUUUGCAGUGGUAUCAGGAUGUGAAUGUGCAGAAUAGGCGGGAGGCUAUGAACCCGAAGCGCCAGCUUCGGUGGAGCCACCUUUGAGAUACCGCCCUUUUGCUUCCUGAUAUCUAACCGAGGUCCGUUAUCCGGAUCCGGGACCCUGCAUGGCGGGUAGUUUGACUGGGGCGGUCGCCUCCCAAAGAGUAACGGAGGCGCGCGAUGGUAGGCUCAGGCUGGUCGGACAUCAGCUUAAGAGUGCAAUGGCAAAAGCCUGCCUGACUGCGAGACUGACAAGUCGAGCAGAGACGAAAGUCGGUCAUAGUGAUCCGGUGGUCCCGCGUGGAAGGGCCAUCGCUCAACGGAUAAAAG